AUGGCGAACACCACCAAGGUCGCGGCGAUCUUCGGCGUCCUUGUUCUCCUGCAGGUGUCGUGCGCCGCCGGCCGCCACGUCCAGGUCAAGGACUCCGGUGAGCGCGUCCACGACGCCCCGGCGGUGAUGUCGCUGACCGACUUCCACAGCGGGCCAGCGGCGUGCGACGGCAAGUCCCACAGCAACGACCUCCUCCUGGCGUCGCUGACCUCGGCGUGGUACGGCGGGGGCAUCCGGUGCGGCAAGAUGAUCCGCAUCGUGACCACGCGCGGGGUCGCCGUGGAGGCCAUGGUCGUGGAGGAGUGCGACAUCGAGCAGGGCUGCGGCGAGCACGAGAUCAGCACGUCGGCCGCCGUGUGGAAGGCCCUCGGCGUCGACGUCGGCAUAGGCGAGUUGCCCGUCACCUGGUCGGAUCUCGACUGA
rnacentral:rRNA from 1 species